GGAUGAACGCUGGCGGCGUGCCUAAUACAUGCAAGUCGAGCGAACGGACGAGAAUCUUGCUUCUCUGAUGUUAGCGGCGGACGGGUGAGUAACACGUGGAUAACCUACCUAUAAGACUGGGAUAACUUCGGGAAACCGUAGCUAAUACCGGAUAAUAUUUUGAACCGCAUGGUUCAAAAGUGAAAGACGGUCUUGCUGUCACUUAUAGAUGGAUCCGCGCUGCAUUAGCUAGUUGGUAAGGUAACGGCUUACCAAGGCAACGAUGCAUAGCCGACCUGAGAGGGUGAUCGGCCACACUGGAACUGAGACACGGUCCAGACUCCUACGGGAGGCAGCAGUAGGGAAUCUUCCGCAAUGGGCGAAAGCCUGACGGAGCAACGCCGCGUGAGUGAUGAAGGUCUUCGGAUCGUAAAACUCUGUUAUUAGGGAAGAACAUAUGUGUAAGUAACUGUGCACAUCUUGACGGUACCUAAUCAGAAAGCCACGGCUAACUACGUG
rnacentral:rRNA from 1 species